UAAUGUUAUACUAUAGUUUACCUUUAGCAGAAACUAGGUAAAGUAUACACAGUAUCUCUUUAUUAUUUCUUUCAACUGCAUGUGAAUAUAAAAUUAUCUCAAUACAAUUUUCAUCUAAAAAUUAAAUGUUACAUAAUUACAAUUUGAUCUAUCUAUAGCCUCUAAAUUUACAAAAGGAAUAGGCAUUUUUAAAUAACUGCUCUAGAUAUUUAAUCGAUAAUAAAUACCUAGUAAGAGGAGAUACCCUAAAUUUAGCAUAUUAGAAGUCAAGUACACAUAUAGUAUGAGAUUUUAUAGGUUAAUAAAAUAUAAUGUUAAUUUAGAAGAAAGGGAAGUGUUUCAAUAUUUGAAAAGAGCAAAUUUCUAAUUCCCAGGUAUUGUGCAUUUUCACUGCAUCUAGUGAAAUCACUGUUAUAAACCACUCAAAGCAACAUCACUGGUGUUGAUUUUAUUUGAAGAUAAUAUAAUCCAGUUUUAUAUUGUACUUUGUAAAUCAAAAGCAACAUGGGACAGGGAAUGUUUGCAGUACAGAUCUAAGUUGGAGGAAGACAUCACUUUUAAUUAAGAAGCACUAAAGUGAUAUAUAGUUCUAUAGGAAAAGUGCCAGAUCAGAAGAAGUGAAAACACUUAGGUUUUAAUAGUUUCCUUUUGGUGACUCUAACUAUGCUAAUUUGUCUUUGAUAAAUUGUGACAAGGACUGUCAACUUAAAUGGUCAACAUACUCAUUAAAAUUAAGCAAUAACAUUUCUAUAGUAAUAAUCUUAGAUAUGUUUAAGACUUAGCCCUUUUUCUGGAAGUUAGAGUCUAAUAAUCUCUGCUUAGUCCCCCAGGGAGUGGGGUGAGGGGAGGGUGGUGGCGGCAUUCAAGUUCUGGCAGCAUGUGAAACAACAGGCAACCCUCAGGAAUUUCAGGGCCACACAAUCUACUUGAGUUACAUGAUACACUUGUGAUUAACACUAAUUCAUUUAAUGUGCUCAAGUAUCUAUGUACCCAGUUAGAAGAUUCAGAUCCUAUAAUAUUCCUAGGUAUUUUGUAUUUCAUCACUUUAUUACUAUUUUAAUGUUGACACAAGGACCCAAGAUCCAAUCUUCAUGAUAAAGACAAAAUUUCUUAUUAACAGCUAAGGUGAAUCCACAAGUUGACAUUCUAAUACAGUGUCAGAAGACGGAACCAAGGGAUUGCCUUGGGUGGGCAUCAACAUUGAAUCACUGCAGUUGGAAAUAACAAUCAGUUUUGUUUUUAUGAUUUCGCAUUGAUGUUUACUUAUAUUUAAGCUCCUUUAGAGAUUUCAAAUGACCAGACCACCAAGCCUGGCUGCAUUUUCCUUGAAAACUAUUAAGAAAAAAUAUAUAGAGAUCAGGAAGACUUUGUUGAUUCUUUGCAAUUUGCAUGUGCACUAUACGAAAACUAGGAGAAAUCUGAAAAAAAAAUCAGAUAUCCAUAUGUUAUUUAAUACCUCAUAUCCAGAUGUUUUGGAGGUCUGGUGUUAUAAGGUUUAUAGCUUUAAGACUGCAUAUAUUUUCAGAAGUCAAAUAAAAUAUUGCAUUUUAUUUAUUCAUUUGUUUCUCAUUUUGAUUUGUUUCUACUAUCUUUUAGAAUUACCAAGAAAUUUUAUGGAAAUCAUCAUUUUGAAGUCAGGUAAUAAGCAGAAAAAUAAAGAACUGCAAUAUUAUCUAUCUUCUUAAGUGUAUAUUUAGCAUUCUCUUGUUCAGUUAUCCAGAUGAUUAAAUUUAUUUCUUGAAAAGCAAAUCACAUAUCAAAUUUGGCCUUACUUUUUGGCACAUAUGAUGGUAAUGUGGAUUAAAUGUUAUGAAAACAGCUAAAUUUAAUUAAAAAUAUACUUUAGAACUAAAAAACUAAAAAUCUCAGGUUAAAAUUUUUUCAUAAUCUGUGUAAAUCUGAAAAUACGAGUAAAAUUAUUGAAUUGUAUUGAAAUGAAGGUAGGAAAAAUAAAUUUUAUAAAAUGUUUACAUAUAUUUAUAAACUAUGUAUGUUUCCUUUAUUACUAGUUUAAAUGUCCUUACUCAUAAACAGAAGAUCUAAAUAUGGGAAAUAAUCAAAUUCCAUCAUGUUUAAUAUUUUUCUUUCUCCAGUCAUAUAAACAUUGAUUCAUGACUUAUUUUCAUAUUUUGUUGCUCAAAAGCUAUAGUUGACAGGGUAGGACAUUUGAAUAUGUUCUGGGUAGCAAUUUUGUUACCUUAAUUUAUAAUUGUAAAUAUUUAGAGACAUGAACUCCAUUUGUCUUCCUGCCCCAGGCAGGCUACUGUUAGGUGAGACUAUACAGAUCUUUUUUUUUUAAGUCAUAUUAUCAUUAUCUGAUAUAGUUUGGAUGUGUGUCCCUGCCCCAAUCUCAUAUUGAAUUGUCUAACUGUAAUCCUCAAUGUUGGAGGUUGGGCCUGGUGAGAGGUGACUGGGUCAUGGGUUGGAGUCUCAUGAAUGGUUUAGCACCAUCCCCUUGCUGCUGUUCUCAUGAUAGUGAGUGAGUUACGGGAGAUCUGGUUGUGUAAAAGUGUGCAGCACUUCGCUGCUGGCUCUCGCUUGCUCCUGCUUUCAGCAUGUGCCUGUUCCCCCUUUGCCUUCUGCCAUGACUAGAAGCUUCCUGUGGUCUCCCCAGAAGCAGAUGCCACUAUGCUUCCUGUACAGCCUGAAGAACUGUGAGCCAAUUAACCCUUUUUUCUUAUAAAUUGCCCAGCCUCAAGUAUUUCUUUAUGGCAAUGCAAAAACAGAGUAAUCUUUUCUUCAAGAUCCUUCCUCACAACUAAGAAGUUGACCCUGCCUUUUCUUUCUUCCAUGUAUAUGGGUUUUCUUUACAGUGCCCUCUAAAUUUCAAUGAUUGGUUUAUACUUCACUCUUCCUGGCUAAACUGUAUUUAGAUUUUAAAAAUCACUCUGCUUUACUUAGUAUUAGAACUCUAAUGCUCUAUAGCAGUCAUGUACCUGGAACCUAGUAGUUGCUCAUGAAAAUGUAUGUUCAGUUUUAUGUUGAAUUUGUGUUACUGAAAACCAUCUAUCAGAGUAUGGAUUACACUUUAGGUCAGGGGUGUCCAAUCUUUUGGCUUCCCUGGGUCACAUUGGAAGAAGAAUUGUCUUGGGUCACACAUAAAAUACACUAACAACAGCCGAUGAGCAAAAAGAAAAAUAAUCGCAAAUAAACCCUCAUAAUCUUUUAAGAAAGUUUACAAAUUUGUGUUGGGUCACAUUCAAAGCCAUGCUGGGCCGCAUGCAGCCCACAGGCCGCAGGUUGGACAAGCUUGCUUUAGAUAUUCACUUAGCACAUGUUAAUGAUGGAGUAAAUAAAAUUGAUCUUCCAACUUGCAAUUUUCUAGCAUCCUCAUGAAAUUAAAAUUCCAUUUCGCUUACCAAUACCUGUCUCUAUUAUCUAAAAACUAUCCAUCAGAGGGUAACUAAUUAAUGCACUAAUUUUUCUCUGCUGAGGCAUUGGCACUGACGUUUUAGUAAUGCCAUGUACUUUUCCCAUUUGUAAUUUGUAAAAUAUUCUCUUAUGAUCACCAUGUAUUUUGUAAAUAAUAAAAUAGUAUUUGAUUAUAUACAUAAUCAAUGAUAAUAAUGAUUUAUAUAUAUAUAGUAUCAUAUAUACGUCAUUUAACAAACCAUUGUUAUGGUUUAAAUUAUGUUGCCCAAAAAGUUGUUGAAGUGCUUUCUCUCAGUAAAUGUGACCUUAAUUGGAUAUGGUAUCCUAGCAGAUGAAAUCAUUUGGGUGGUCCCUAAUCAAUACGACUGAGUCUUUAUAAAAAGGGGAAAUUUAGACACAGACAUAGACACACACACAGGGAGAAUCCUAUGUGAGCAUGAAGGAAGAUACCAGAAAAUGCAUCUAUAAUCCAAAAAAUGCCAAAAUUUCCAGAAAACUACCAGAAAUUAGGAAAUGGGCAUAAACAGAUUAUCCCUCACAUCCCUCAGCAGAAACCAACCUUGCUGACACUUUGAUGGUGCAUGUCUAGCCUCUAGAACUAUGAGAACGUUAAUUUCUGCUGUUUAAGCCAUCCAGUUUUUGGUGAGCUUUGUAGCGUUUUCAUAGAGCUUUGUUACACCAGCUCUACAAAACUAAUACACCCAUAAAUAUUGCUAAAGAUAAAUAUUCUCAGAGCCGCCUAUCAUUUGGACAAUAUAUCAACAACUAGAAUGACUGACGUGUGAAUAGUAUCUUUUGAAAGAAAUCCUAAAAUUCACCUUCAUUGAGAACUUUCAAAGAGAAGAGAAAAGUCCAAUUUGGGGUGCAGUCCUAUGCAAAAGCAGCCACCCUAGUGGGGAUGACGCCAGGUGGGUUUUUAUGAUUGGCUUAAACAUAGAUUGGGAUGGCACGAAAUAAAGGCAGAGAAAAGGGGAUAGAAGAUCCUAAACCCUCUAAUUAUGUUCUUUCAUCCUCCCUCACUACGCACCAUUUGCUUUUUUAUAAUGUGAUACCUGCCAGAGAGAUCAUAUGGGCAAAGUAUUUCUGCUUCUAAAUUAGCCCAAAAGUUAAAAAAAAAAAAAGAUUCCGGGUUUGCUUUCCUGUGAAGGUAUAAGAUAAAAUGUAAAGAACAAGCACAGUGAUGAUAGAAAGGUUGGACUCAGAUUUUAUAUUUUUACAAAAGGAAUUUUUAAAACACAUAUUGUACGUGAAGAGAUGUAGCAGGGUACUAAUAGCGUAGGCCUUUUAAAAAUCAAUAAUUGGUGUUAGUAAUAAGAGAUGUGCUGACAACCAGCUGUGAAAGUGGCCUCAUUCCUGCAGUGCAGGAGGGAAAGAAACCAGCCGGUGAUUACUAACUCCAAAUAUUGCUUGCAGUGAAAGCUUCAUUAAAAAAAAUUAGUAAAAUACCCCUUUUACCUUAAAAUAUGUGUCCCCAUAUUGAAAGAGGAUCUAUAUAAAGAGUUCAGAAAAGAACUGCUGCAAACUGUUCAAAUCAAGAGUAUUUCCCAGUUGGGCCACCGGCCUACAUUGUGGAACUUACUCUUUAGUAAAAAGCUCUUCUCCUCCCAAUUAAAGAAAAAAAGGUUGGGAUGCCCACAGGUCCUUGCAGCAUGUUUAGCGUGACUUUUAACCCCUCAUUUCACCUUCUGUAUAUGGCUCUUCUUUAUACCACCACCUGAUACAGCCACAGAAUCUAGUCUCCACUGCAAAUUAGGCUGUUAGCAUCUCUUUCACAAUUUUUAAAAGUCAGUGUCGAAAUUCACUGUUGGCCCUUGCUGGUCUUCUAUGCAUGCUGCCUGUGAAAAUCCAGCCAUUUAUUUUUAUUCAAAUCAAAGGGAGGCAUUUUUGUUAUUAAAUAAGUUACUCAAAAACAAACAGCAACAGAGUCCACUUCUUACCAGCAUAUUCCUGCAAGCCUGAUAUUCUACAUGAAUUAUCUUAAUGAGGAAAUAUAUCCAAGCACUGAAUAAGGAAUCUUAGAUUUCCAGCUUUGACUUUUAGCUACAGCUCACUCACACACAACCUUACAGAAUCCCUUAAAUCUCCAAGAGCCCAUUUCUCAUUUUCCUCUGUGCUCCCAUGGAGCUGAUCCAAUGGUUUUUAAGGGAGCUCUGAGCUUGGACAAGCUCUGAAGGGCAUGGGGCAAGACAAGAAACGGGCCCUGCGCUCCCUGCUUAUCGUCUUGGAAAAUAGGUAUGAUAAUAUCAGCCUCACCAGGGUCCCAUUGCAAUUAAUGUUUGGAAAAUGUUUUGAAAUCCCAGAGUUAAGAAAGGCAAUACCAGCGUCAAUUAUUUAAGGGUCUUAUUUCUAAAGCACUAUUCAAAUUGUUUUAAGCCACUUUUUCUAAAAAUAUAUGAUACAAAGGCAAUUAUACUACCUGCAAGCAUAAAUUGAUGUGGUGGUUUUAUGGUCUUUUGAAAAUUGCCUUAGUAGAAUAUCUCUGUGACCUGGAACAUCUAGUUAAAUGAGGAAUCUGAGUUUUGUAGACUCGCCCAAACACUUAAACGCCAAAGAGAUGAAUCUAUGGGAAGGGUGCUUUUCUUUGUUGAUCUUGAUUGCAGUUUCUGCACUUUCCAGAAGGUGAUGUUGCUUUGCUUGGCUUCGUUUCAGAUCUGAGGAGGGAAGCCAAACAAACAGUGGAAAAUGAAGGAUGAAUAAAAAAAGAAAAGAAAAGAACCUUGGCUUAGGAAAGAGAAAACUUUUACAACCAAAGGCAUUACAGAAGGUCUUUGAGUUUCAAUAACUUUGUAAUCUUCAUAUCCAACCAAUUUUUGCUGUAUGAGUAUUUCUGAGUCGAACAUCCUGGAAUUAAAGAUAGAUUCCAAAGUAUUUCUAAACAAUGUGUAAAACUGGCAUUAUUAGAAGUCUUUGAGUAUAUAGACAAGACGGAAAGUUUAAAAUAGGGAAACUAAAUUGAGAACAAAGAUGUUUCUAAAGAUAAAUCUAUUGCUUGAAUUUAUUAUAUAACAACAUUUUUUAACUACACAGGUUUGCAUUUUACUUGGUACAAAUAUAUCGUUGAAGAGUUCACUUACACAUCCAAGCUAUUACAUACAACUGGGAAUGGAUGCUCAAUGCUGUGUACAAGAUUAUUUGGAAACAGGUCAAUUGAAUGUUGGAGCUGCUAACUCCUCCCACUAAAGAAAGAACCCGCUUGUGGCAUACUGAUUGCAUCAUUUAAAUGAAAAGCUCCUAUUAUUAAAGAUAAAAUACUACAAUAUAAGGGUUUGUUAGAAUUAAUUUAAAAAUCCUGAUAUUAAAUGCAGUACUUUUUUAACAGUGUGUUUAUUUCUUUGUCUUAUAGAUUCUUUUCUAAAGCAUGCUUUGUAUUAACUACUGGUGAGUAAUAGGAGGGGAUGAUCAUAUCAGUAUAUAUUCAUCUCCUGUGGCUAUUCUGCUGCAGUUAAUUCUUAAAUACAGUAGGUUAUAAUAGGGUGACAUUUCUAUAGUGCCUUUCAUAAGAGCAAUCUAAAGCAUGUCAUAUAAUGUUUGACUUUGAACUAUUCAGUUUCUUAGUGACACAAAUCUCAGGGUAAAUUUAUGCCUUCAUGGUUUGUUUCCUUAAAAAAUAUGAGUCAUUGUAUUUGUUAUAGUUUGAAAUUUAUCAUAGAUUCACCAUAGAUUAUCAAGUUAUCCAUGCCAUAAUAAUCUGUAACUGUCCUUAUCUGUGUGUUAGAUGUGCAGGGUUAUGAUGUGUGUGGACUUUUUACGAUCUACUUAUCUCUUCUGGUCAUAUAGAUUUAUGUGUAUCUCUUUUCUGACUAAAUCUGAAAUCAGAGCUUGCAUUCUGAAGAAACAAAACAUAUCUAUGUAAAAUCCAAGUACUAUUCCCUGACAUCUAAAAGUUAGAGAAAAAUGAUUAUAAUACCCUCCACCAAAAUAAGGAGGUACUCAAUUUCAAUUGCAUUUUUUACAAAAUAAAAUGUUAAAUGUGUGAAAUGUAUAAUGUACCCUGAGAUUAAGCUAAGUAUCCCCAGAAUGAUUUUUAGAGUUACAAUAAAUAGACUAUUUCAAGGGACAGUGUUUGAUUAUCUAAAAUUUACAUAUUUGCAACAGUUGUUUCUG
rnacentral:lncRNA from 1 species